rnacentral:rRNA from 1 species
AGAUUGAACGCUGGCGGCAGGCCUAACACAUGCAAGUCGAGCGGUAACGCGGGGCAACCUGGCGACGAGCGGCGGACGGGUGAGUAACGCGUAGGAAUCUACCUGGUAGUGGGGGAUAGCCCGGGGAAACUCGGAUUAAUACCGCAUACGCCUUAAGGGGGAAAGCAGGGGAACUUCGGUCCUUGUGCUAUCAGAAGAGCCUGCGUUGGAUUAGCUAGUUGGUAGGGUAAAGGCCUACCAAGGCGACGAUCCAUAGCUGGUCUGAGAGGAUGAUCAGCCACACUGGGACUGAGACACGGCCCAGACUCCUACGGGAGGCAGCAGUGGGGAAUAUUGGACAAUGGGGGCAACCCUGAUCCAGCCAUGCCGCGUGUGUGAAGAAGGCCUGGUGUAAGUACGAUUAACGUAGGGUAGGAAGGGGUAGGG